GCUAACAAUGCUUAAUAUCUUGCGACUGCAUUGGGGCCAGCAAUUUGUGUGUACUCACUCACACGGAGAUAGUUUUUUUAAAAGGAGUUUUGCUUGCUGCAACGAGAACCAUUUUGUGGAUGAACAAGGAAUCAUGUUUGUUCUUAGACGAGAGGAGGUUGUAAAGGAUGAACCUGACAUCAACCAGAUGAUCCAAAGCUGGCCAGUGCUUUUUUGACUGAA
rnacentral:lncRNA from 1 species